UCUGGGUCCCUAACUGACUAGAUUUGACUGGCGUACUCUCUGAUAACCUCGUGAACCUAUUCUGUGUGUAAUCGGUGCUAUUUCGGUCUUUCCAUGAUAUCCAAAUCCUCCCAUAUUAUUACAAAAUUACCCCUUAAAAAUUACAAACUUAAUUUAAAUAUGGUGCACAUUUGUUAACACAUAUUUUGGUAUGGGGUAUUUUUUAGACAAGAAUGUAGGUUAUGCAUGGGACUAAAAAAAUAUUCUGCAUAAAAAUAUUUGUCCAAAAAUAUGAACCACAAAUUUAAAUUGAAUUUGUAAUUUUUAAGGGAAAAUUUGGUAAUAUUGUGGGAGGUUUUGGAUAUCGUGGAAAGACCGGAAUAGCACGAGUACACCCAGAACAGAUUCACAAGGUUAUCAGGGAUAACGCCAGUCAAAUCUGGUCAGCUAGGGACCCAGAAUUUUGCGGAUAAGGAAAAAUGCCGGGAACUUGGCUUAGCCGGCUAGCAGUCCUGACCUAAAUCCCAUGAAGAAUUUUUGGGCCAACUUCUCGCGUCGGGUGGGCGUCAAUUUCGAACCAAAAAGGGAUUGGAGCAAAUGAUGCAUGGCGGAUGGGCAAAUAUCCUGCUGGAGACCCUUCAGCACUUCAAUAACUCAAUGAAGCGACGAAUAUUCGCGUUAAUUCUAGCUAAGAAAGGUUUUACCAAAUACUAGAAUAAGUUUCAAGGGUACUGACUCCCUUAAAAUUAACUGUUUAAAUGUUUAAAUUUCAUAUCUCUUACUUUUGAGACAGUCGAUUUUGACUAAUUUUGUAAGAUUGCAUAUAAAUUUCUUGAUUUAAGUCAAAUCUCAAUGAAACUUGGCAUGAACUUGUAGCAAUACCUGAGCUAUAUUAUAAUAAAACUUUGGGCCCCAGGACCAAGCUAUUAAGAAAUAGUAGAAUUUUCCAAAACUA